AUGGGACGGCAGGAGAGGACUCGCACCCCAGCUGGUCCAGGCGCCCCAGCGCGUGGUGACAGGGGAGAAACAUCCCCGAGGAGGACAGGGAUGUGGGGAGCGAGACCCACGCGAGGCUCACGCUCUCCUUGUGCCCGUGCAGACGGAGCCACGGGCGGGUGCCAGCCCCCCCGGCAGGGAUGGGAGCCCCGAAGGCAGCCGAGGGCUCGGCAGGGCUCAGCGUGCCGCCGCUCCCAGGUGCAGCUGCGAGAGGGAGAAGGAAAAAAAAAGGGGGGGGACCCGCUACCUCUCCACGGCAAAGCUGGCUGGUUUCUUCCUCCCGGGGUACACCCUGCCCUGGCCGCCCGGGAGGAACAGGGACACACAGGCAGCCUGGACGAGCAGCUCGAGCAACAUGACAGGCGGCUGCAGCACGCUCGCAGCGCUGCCUUCCUGCCUGCCUUCCUGCCUUCCCCGGCGGCACGGCACGGCGCGGCACGGCGCGGCACGGCGCGGCACGGCGCGGCACGGCACGGGCGCCUACCGCAUGCUGGCCCUUGGCCCUGCUCCUCCUCCCGCCCGCCGGGCCGGGAACAAUGCGGGGGGUGGAGGGAGGCGAGAGCGGGGAGCGCCGGGGGGGACCCUGCUCUCCUCCCACCCCGCGCGUGGGGAUGCUCACCCAGCGCCUGCCGGGCUCGCCGAGCCCCCGGGCUCGCCCCCGGCCCGGUGACCCCGGCGUGGCCCCCCCCGGGACGGGGUCCCCGGCGCCUCCUGCGUGGAGCGGGGAGAGGGGGAAGCAAGCGAGCGGCGAGCGUCCCCCCUUCUCUCCUUUCCCACAUCUGGCAAAGCUCCGGCCUGGCCUCUCCCCACCCCUCCUCCUCCUCCUGGCGGCACUGGGCUGCCUUCCCAGCCCUGCGCGGGGACCCACCAAAGAGGAGCACGCAGCAGAUAAAGGGGCCAAAGUGGAGCGGGGCCGGUGGGGAAGGGCGCGGCGAGGGGCGAGGGGCGCUGCGGGGCCCCCCCGGCCCGGCGCGCAUCCCCCCAUGGCCCUCGCCCCGAAGCGAAGGUCGCGGGCAGGUAAAUGAUUGA
rnacentral:lncRNA from 1 species